rnacentral:rRNA from 1 species
UCCGUAGGCGGGCAAUUAAGUCAGAGGUGACAUCCCACAGCUCAACUGUGGAACUGCCUUUGAUACUGGUUGUCUUGAGUUAUAGUGAAGUAGAUAGAAUAUGUAGUGUAGCGGUGAAAUGCAUAGAUAUUACAUAGAAUACCGAUUGCGAAGGCAGUCUACUAACUGUAUACUGACGCUAAUGGACGAAAGCGUGGGGAGCGAACAGGAUUAGAUACCCUGGUAGUCC